rnacentral:pre_miRNA from 2 species
UUAACCAAUUUAACAACUCAACCGAUCAAAUGAAAUGAGUUAUGGGUUGACCCAACCCAUUUAACAAAAUGAGUUGGGUCAACCCAUAACUCAUUUAAGCCUAAACUCAUUUGAUUAUGAGU